AGAGUUUGAUCCUGGCUCAGGAUGAACGCUGGCGGCGUGCUUAACACAUGCAAGUCGAACGAUGAACCUCACUUGUGGGGGGAUUAGUGGCGAACGGGUGAGUAACACGUGAGUAACCUGCCCUUGACUCUGGGAUAAGCCUGGGAAACCGGGUCUAAUACUGGAUACGAUCUUCUGGCGCAUGCCAUGUUGGUGGAAAGCUUUUGUGGUUUUGGAUGGACUCGCGGCCUAUCAGCUUGUUGGUGGGGUAAUGGCCUACCAAGGCGACGACGGGUAGCCGGCCUGAGAGGGUGACCGGCCACACUGGGACUGAGACACGGCCCAGACUCCUACGGGAGGCAGCAGUGGGGAAUAUUGCACAAUGGGCGCAAGCCUGAUGCAGCGACGCCGCGUGAGGGAUGAAGGCUUUCGGGUUGUAAACCUCUUUCAGUAGGGAAGAAGCCGGCCCUUUGGGUUGGUGACGGUACCUGCAGAAGAAGCGCCGGCUAACUACGUGCCAGCAGCCGCGGUAAUACGUAGGGCGCAAGCGUUAUCCGGAAUUAUUGGGCGUAAAGAGCUCGUAGGCGGUUUGUCGCGUCUGCCGUGAAAGUCCGGGGCUUAACCCCGGAUCUGCGGUGGGUACGGGCAGACUAGAGUGCAGUAGGGGAGACUGGAAUUCCUGGUGUAGCGGAAAUGCGCAGAUAUCAGGAGGAACACCGAUGGCGAAGGCAGGUCUCUGGGCUGUAACUGACGCUGAGGAGCGAAAGCAUGGGGAGCGAACAGGAUUAGAUACCCUAGUAGUCC
rnacentral:rRNA from 1 species